rnacentral:rRNA from 1 species
AUCGAACGCUGGCGGCAUGCCUAACACAUGCAAGUCGAACGAGUGGCGGACGGGUGAGUAACGCGUGGGGAACCUCCCGAUGAAGGGGGGUAACCACUGGAAACGGUAUCCAAUACCCCCUACUAUCGGAACUGCCCAAAGGGGAUUAGCUAGUUGGUGGGGUAACGGCUCACCUAGGCGACGAUCCCUAGCUGGUCUGAGAGGAUGACCAGCCACAAUGGAACUGAGACACGGUCCAGACUCCUACGGGAGGCAGCAGUGGGGAAUAUUGCACAAUGGGCGCAAGCCUGAUGCAGCAAUGCCGCGUGUGUGAAGAAGGCUUUCGGGUUGUAAAGUACUUUAAGAGGGGAGGCGGUACUCGCAGAAGAAGCAACGGCUAACUACGUGCCAGCAGCCGCGGUAAUUC